rnacentral:rRNA from 1 species
AGUGAACGCUGGCGGCAGGCCUAACACAUGCAAGUCGAACGGCAGCACAGUAAGAGCUUGCUCUUACGGGUGGCGAGUGGCGGACGGGUGAGGAAUACAUCGGAAUCUACUUUUUCGUGGGGGAUAACGUAGGGAAACUUACGCUAAUACCGCAUACGACCUACGGGUGAAAGCAGGGGAUCUUCGGACCUUGCGCGAUUGAAUGAGCCGAUGUCGGAUUAGCGAGUUGGCGGGGUAAAGGCCCACCAAGGCGACGAUCCGUAGCUGGUCUGAGAGGAUGAUCAGCCACACUGGAACUGAGACACGGUCCAGACUCCUACGGGAGGCAGCAGUGGGGAAUAUUGGACAAUGGGCGCAAGCCUGAUCCAGCCAUGCCGCGUGGGUGAAGAAGGCCUUCGGGUUGUAAAGCCCUUUUGUUGGGAAAGAAAGGCAUCAGGUUAAUACCCCGCUGUUCUGACGGUACCCGCAGAAUAAGCACCGGCUAACUUCGUG